rnacentral:rRNA from 1 species
UACGGAGAGUGCGAACGUUGUUCGGAUUCACUGGGCGUAAAGGGCACGUAGGCGGCUCGGCAAAUCAGUCGUGGAAUCCCGACGCUUACCGUCGGAACGGCGGCUGAAAAUACCGGGCUUGAGGGCGUGAGGGGUCACUGGAACUCCAGGUGAAGCGGUGAAAUGCGUAGAUAUCUGGAGGAACGCCGGAGGCGAAAGCGAGUGACUGGCGCGUUCCUGACGCUGAGGUGCGAAAGCUAGGGGAGCAAACAGG